rnacentral:snRNA from 1 species
CAAUUUGAGGGUGACCUGGGCUGUGACAAGACACCCCACUGACUCCCAGUGUUUUUUUCAACUGAUCUUACUGGCUUGCUUGGUGUCCCCUUUCCCCUCCACGGCUCUGUGUCUGUCCUUCCUGAAGCAGAAUGCUCGGUCAAAAAGGACACCAUUUAAAAUGUUACAGAAUUUUCCAUUGAUUUCUGCUUGGGCAAAUAUCAAAUUUCUAGUUUCUCUGAACUUCCAAGCAUUGAAAAAUGGCACUAGAAAAUUAAUAAUAGGAAUAAGAAAUCC